rnacentral:lncRNA from 1 species
AUUCUACUGACUCCAAGUUCACGCAGCUGUUCAUCCCCUGCUUAAUGUACUGGUGAGUUCCUUGAAGCCCUGAACCGAGGACUUCUUGUGUACUUUAACAUUUGUUAUAUCUGAAGAUAUUCUGAUUGGCAACAUUUUUAACAUAGAGAACUGUUUAAAGAAAAUACCGCCAGCACACAACUCAUCCACAAAUUGCUGUUUUUGAAAAAGAUGGAGAGGCUGUGACUGAGAUCAUCAGAGAACCAGCCCGGCACCCCAAACAUAAUAGGGCAAAGGAGUCAGAUGAGAAUUUUGUUCAGUAUGAGACACUGGACAACAAGACAGGACCCUUGACCUCAGAAAUGCAGGAAUUCAGGAAUAUUAUAGAACAUGAAGUAGCAGAGCCGUGGAGGAGAAUUUAUAGCACUAAUCUUGAGCACUUUCCCCCGAGGACUCUGCGCUGUUUUCACAAAGGCCUCUCGGAAUGCCAGGCUGUGAAAGGUAGAAAUGUAAACACGGGGACAGGAGUGUCCUUCAGUCUAAAGAGUGAGCCACGCAGGUUUCUAGUUGCCAGCAUUCCAGUAGUGGUACUGGGAAAUGGUUUUAUAGGAUAAACAAAUCACCCAAAUGCAGAAAAUGCAAUUCCACUGAAGCAAAUCCAACUUCCUUUCCUGACGGAGAAUGUAAUUAAAUCCUGCUUCAGGAGGACGGUUUAUAUCCUCUGCUGCUGGGGGUCUCGGCUCAUGCUCAUCGCUGGUGUUUACAAGAUGACAUUACCUGCCUCCUGUGACAUGCUGAGGCAGCCCUGACUUUGAAGAUGGGGCGGUGGUGCAUGUGAGGGAAGGGGGAUGAGUGAGGCUGUGUUUCAUUUGCAGAGCUUGGCUGUUCAUCUCUCACAUUCACAUCUGACACCAGAAGCCCACACCAUGCUUGGCUUUUCCAAAACAGUGAUUCUAAUGUAACACCCUAAUAAGCUGUGUUAACUCACCUUUCAGAAGGAGGCUGGGGGGACAUACAUCACAACAAGUUGAGAGGAAGGGGUGAUUGUAACAAUAUUAAAUAUAAUUAUCACCAGCAGAAGUUCUAUGAGAUGAAGUGAAUGAAUCACAGCUCAUGAUGUCUUCAAAAUACAAUUAAAAGUGCAAUUUUACUUUA